rnacentral:rRNA from 1 species
AUGCACGCUGGCGGCGUGCCUAAUACCUGCAAGUCGAGCGAACGGACGAGAAGCUUGCUUUUCUGAUGUUAGCGGCGGACGGGUGAGUAACACGUGGAUAACCUACCUAUAAGACUGGGAUAACUUCGGGAAACCGGAGCUAAUACCGGAUAAUAUUUUGAACCGCAUGGUUCAAAAGUGAAAGACGGUCUUGCUGUCACUUAUAGAUGGAUCCGCGCUGCAUUAGCUAGUUGGUAAGGUAACGGCUUACCAAGGCAACGAUGCAUAGCCGACCUGAGAGGGUGAUCGGCCACACUGGAACUGAGACACGGUCCAGACUCCUACGGGAGGCAGCAGUAGGGAAUCUUCCGCAAUGGGCGAAAGCCUGACGGAGCAACGCCGCGUGAGUGAUGAAGGUCUUCGGAUCGUAAAACUCUGUUAUUAGGGAAGAACAUAUGUGUAAGUAACUGUGCACAUCUUGACGGUACCUAAUCAGAAAGCCACGGCUAACUACGUG